rnacentral:rRNA from 1 species
GUGUCAGCAGCCGCGGUAAUACGUAGGCAGCAAGCGUUGUUCGGAAUUACUGGGCGUAAAGAGUGCGUAGGUGGUUGACCAAGUUUGGUGUGAAAUCUCCCGGCUUAACUGGGAGGGUGCGCCGAAAACUGGUUAGCUAGAGUGUGGGAGAGGGAAGCGGAAUUCCAGGUGUAGCGGUGAAAUGCGUAGAUAUCUGGAGGAACGCCUGCGGUGUAGACGGCUUCCUGGACCAUGACUGACACUGAGGCACGAAAGCGUGGGUAGCAAACAGGAUUAGAAACCCUCGUAGUCC